rnacentral:rRNA from 1 species
AACGAACGCUGGCGGCAUGCCUAACACAUGCAAGUCGAACGAGACCUUCGGGUCUAGUGGCGCACGGGUGCGUAACGCGUGGGAACCUGCCCUUAGGUUCGGAAUAACUCCCCGAAAGGGGUGCUAAUACCGGAUAAUGUCUUCGGACCAAAGAUUUAUCGCCUUUGGAUGGGCCCGCGUUGGAUUAGCUAGUUGGUAGUGUAAAAGCCUACCAAGGCGACGAUCCAUAGCUGGUCUGAGAGGAUGAUCAGCCACACUGGGACUGAGACACGGCCCAGACUCCUACGGGAGGAAGCAGUGGGGAAUAUUGGACAAUGGGCGAAAGCCUGAUCCAGCAAUGCCGCGUGAGUGAUGAAGGCCUUAGGGUUGUAAAGCUCUUUUACCCGGGAUGAUAAUGACAGUACCGGGAGAAUAAGCUCCGGCUAACUCCGUG